UACGUAGGGUGCAAGCGUUAAUCGGAAUUAGCUGGGCGUAAAGCGUGCGCAGGCGGUUUUGUAAGUCUGUCGUGAAAUCCCCGGGCUCAACCUGGGAAUUGCGAUGGAGACUGCAAGGCUAGAAUCUGGCAGAGGGGGGUAGAAUUCCACGUGAUAGCAGUGAAAUGCGUAGAGAUGUGGAGGAAGACCGAUGGCGAAGGCAGCCCCCUGGGUCAAGAUUGACGCUCAUGCACGAAAGCGUG
rnacentral:rRNA from 1 species